CUAAAUCCUCAGUACUCAUCUUGCUGGAUCUGUCUGCUGCUUUUGACACAGUUAACCACCAGAUCCUCCUGUCAACCCUCAAGAUGAAAGGCAUCUCAGGAACAGCACUUCAGUGGUUCAAGUCUUACCUCUCAGAUGAUCCGACAGUAGCUGCUCGUAUAUCAGCCUGCCUGACAGACAUUUCUUGCUGGAUGAAGGACUGAACGACUGACGCUUUAGAUUAAAUUCAGUCAGUCAAUCAAUCGGGACGGGAGGUCUGGGAUUUGGAAAUGGAAGAAGACGCCUCACGCCUCAACGAUUCAAUACAUAAAUCUCAAGCCCUGUGCCAGAAUAUCGGCAGUAGAAGCAGUUAAGAAACAUCUCAAACAUUUUUCUAUAUCAUUGCAUUCUUAGCAUUUCUCUCUUUCUUCUAAUAUUAUUUUAAGUUCUUUAGCUUAAUUUAAAAACCCCAUGGACUUGCAUUUUAAGAUGGACUCUAGACCAGAAUUUUAUAGAAACGCUACCUCACCUUAGUAUUAUGGAAAUGAUU